rnacentral:lncRNA from 1 species
GCCCGGCCCACUAAAGAACCAAACCUAAAUAAAAAUGUCCAAAUAGUUAAACAGUCCAUUAACAAAAACAGACCCAAUCCAAAAGCCCAAAACUAAACUAAGCCCCAUUAGCCCACAAAACCUAAAAAAAUUUCAGGCAAAAAAAACCCUAACUAGCCGCCGCUCCUGCCCCUAGGCCUUUGCCAUUCUAGCCUGCCGCUACUAUCACCGUAGCCUCCUUCACGCGUACUGUUACCUGCAAGAAAAAUAAAGAACAAGAGGACAACAGCAAGAAACAAUCGCAAACGACAAAAAAAAAGAGAAGUUUAAGGAUUUUAAAAUCGAUUAUAUAAGCCAAAUACGAGCACUGUAAUCUUCUUCUUCCAUUUUUACGAACAUUAAGAAAUAAAAAGCAAAAACUAAAGGUGAAAUUUUGAUUUAAGAGUUUUUAUUUAAAUCUAUUUUAGCAUUUUUUUUCUUAUUCUUUUUACAUAUUUGAAAACAGGAAUAAAAAAGGCAAAAAAAAAAAGUUUACCUGGGCGUCACAGUCCCAUCGCCGGAGUCCUUUUCUCUGUCAUCAGAGCUGAGUUUCGAAGAAGGGACGAGGAAGGCUUUCUUUUCUUUUUCUGUUUUGGUGGGCACGGGCUAAAAAGCCUUUUUUUUCGAAUGAUUCCGGCCACCGUCAUCGGUGGCGCUGCAGCGGAGAUGCGACGGACGACGGCGGGAUUCCAAGGCUAGGCUUGGAACCCUAGCAGAGAAAAGGAAAGCCCUUUUUUUUUUAAUUUUUUUUCCUCUGUUCUUAGAAAUAA